CUCUCCCUAUCUCUCUCUAUCUCUCUCGUGGCUAUGCCCUAGCUUUCUCCCGUCCACCGCUUCUCUCUCUCUUGCACCCCCACUCCCGGCUACCACUUCCCUCUCUCUUGUAGCACGAGUCCCAGUAGCUGCUCUCCUCUCUGUUGUGCCCCCGAUCCCGGCAACCGCUCUCCUUUGUCGUAUGCCCUUGUCCCGGCCGCGCUGCCCUAUUCUAUCUCGUGCCUCUGCUCCCAACCGCCACUCCCCUGAGUGUCUGGCGCCCUUGUCCGAGAAUCUCAGCUCGCCUUGAAAUCAGGCCAUGCUGAUGCUCCAGGAUAUAUCAAGCAACAAUCCAAUAUCUGCAGUGAUUGAAGGGAUUGAAGGGAAACAAUUUUUGCUUCUGAGCUACAAGGAGGAGAAAAUUGAGCUCAGUUUUCCUUAACAUAAUUUGUGCUAGGAGAAAUAUUUUGUAAUAAGUUGGUUGUUGUCAUGUUAUUGUUGUUGAUUCUUGUUUGGGUCUUUUAGUGCUCAGUUUUCCUUAACAUUAUUUGAGCUAGGACUUCAUAUUUUUCAAUGUUUUUGUAUAGUUGUUUUUGGUAAAAUGAGCUAGAACUUUGGUAUUUAUUGAGCCAAAAACUGGAACUGAAGACAACAAAUAGCAAACUAAACAAAGAAAGAAGCAGCUAAAUGCCAACUGAGAAGAAAAAAACAGGACUAACACUCACAACAAAGACAUACUAGACACUAGAAAUUAAAGAGGGAACGCUCCAGGAGUCUCAUUAGCCAUCUAGGAAGGUCCAUGCCUUUGUGGAAGAGUGACAACUGAGAAGCAUUUACACCUUUACUAGCCAUGGUUGCUGCAAUCUUGUUCCAUCGGGCAGGGAUAAGGUGAAUGGAUGGUUCAUUGAAUCUUCUCAUCUGGUGUUUGAUGUUUGCCAGAGAAUUGGCAGCCCUCCAAUUGUUAACUUCCUCUAAACCAUGAAGGAAUCUCCACAGAUCUGAGUUGUUGAUAUAGAUAUGUUUGCAAUUCAAAUUUAGCUCUUCAACUCUUUCCAAUGCAAUAAGAAUGGUGCUUCCAUCAGCUGCAAUAUUGGUAUCCUCCAUGAUGGGGGAGAGCCCUG